CCAACGGCUCUUUUAAGAGCCACCCACCUGAGACUACCGAGCAGCUU
rfam:Tetraodon nigroviridis, WGS project CAAE01000000 data, contig: CNS0BSYC, chromosome: undetermined